rnacentral:sRNA from 1 species
UAAGAUAUCAAAAUCUGUUACCUGUGAC